rnacentral:lncRNA from 1 species
GGUUUUAUGGUUUAUUGACAAUCCCAUUUUUAAGGCGGCCCUCUCUCUUGGGAUGUAAAAUUCCUUUCAGCUCGUUUUCUCCUUCACUGGAGCGUCUAAAAAAUGUAAAACUCCAUCAUUUGCAGCAUUUUUCAUCGUCUCUCUCAGGACGGAAACGGAUUUUCUCAUUUCUUUCCAACUUUUGCCGAGCUGAGAAUCGGUGUGACGACAAUGGCAUCGGUCGGAUGAGGAGUGGUCCUCUGGGUCCGGCUGUCACUGACACGCAUGGAUUUGCUCGUGUGAGGAUCCCGCAGAAGAACAUGAUAAAUGUGUCUGACCGGAGCUCCAUUCCGUAGCGCCCUGCUGGUUCUCCUGUUUGCCAUCUCCUGUGGCAAACGCACGUGUGACUAUCAGAAGAUACUGGAGUCCUACAGAGGGCUCAUCCUAGUUGACCUUCAGAAUCUGAAUUUGACUGGUGCAUCUUCUCAUCACAAACAGAGAGACCCCUGCCCUUCAAGAAAGGCACAACGCAUCCUGGUUUCCAUCUAUGGGAUGGCGCAGCAGGUCCUGUGUCAGAGGGCUGGAAAGCAGCCAUCUGACCUGGAAAGGCCAGUGAAGAGAAUGGAGGAGCUCAUCAGUUACAACUGCAACUCUGACAGUCUGAGGAGAGAAGUCUUUUGUUCCGUCUGGAAAAUACGGGGGAAGAAGAGAAAGAGGAUCAGGUUAAUCAAAGCUAUAAAUGCUUUGAUUGUUUGUUGGCAGAAAUUCCAGAGUGUCUAUGUGCUCUCAGAUUAGGAAACACCGUGUAUCCUGGUUCUAUAAUCAUUCUGUGCUCAUUCUUAAUGAAGAUAUUGAGGAUUCUACACAAAUAGAUUACAUUUCAUGACCAUUGAUGUACUGUUUUUGGACUGCUAUUGUUCAAAUGCAAAGCCGUGAUUGUUUACCUGUUGUCAAGUUCUCAGUAUUUGUAUAUCAGAUUUAUACCAGACUUUUCAUAUUGUUGAUGCAAUAUUUCAAUGAAGCCACAGAUAAGCUAUUAAAUACGUAAAAUUCAUUCAAAUAAUUUCAGAAAAGGCCAAUUUCAGAACUUUGGUAACUGUGAUUGAAUUUUAUCUUGAUAAGCUUUAUGUUGUAACACACAUGCAGAAUUUAUACCAUUUACUUAUGAGAAUGAUUGGAUAAAUGGAUACACAAUGCAUAAACCAGAUUGCUACUUGACAGAUCUCAUUAAAAUGUCCAUGACUAUGAAACCUUUAUGCCAUUUACUUAUAUUUAUGUGUAAUUUACAAAAAUACAAUUAAAAU